AUGACUCUCAGCAACAGAUAUCUUGGCUCUUGCAACGAUGAAGAACGCAACGAAAUGUGAUACAUAGUGUGAAUUGCAGAAUUCCAUGAAUCAUCGAGUCUUUGAAGGUUAUGCCUUCCUGAGCCUCCCC
rnacentral:rRNA from 1 species